UGGGGAAUAUUGGACAAUGGGCGAAAGCCUGAUCCAGCCAUGCCGCGUGUGUGAAGAAGGUCUUCGGAUUGUAAAGCACUUUAAGUUGGGAGGAAGGGCAGUAAGCGAAUACCUUGCUGUUUUGACGUUACCGACAGAAUAAGAACCGGCUAACUCUGUGCCAGCAGCCGCGGUAAUACAGAGGGUGCAAGCGUUAAUCGGAAUUACUGGGCGUAAAGCGCGCGUAGGUGGUUCGUUAAGUUGAAUGUGAAAGCCCCGGGCUCAACCUGGGAACUGCAUCCAAAACUGGCGAGCUAGAGUAGGGCAGAGGGUGGUGGAAUUUCCUGUGUAGCGGAGAAAUGCGUAGAUAUAGGAAGGAACACCAGUGGCGAAGGCGACCACCUGGGCUCAUACUGACACUGAGGUGCGAAAGCGUGGGGAGCAAACAGG
rnacentral:rRNA from 1 species